GGCCGCGGCGGGAACGUGUGUGUGGGGGUCGUCUCUCCGAGCCAUCCAGUUCCAUCCUUGUCGCUGCGGCGACACCCGCACCCGCCGCCGUCAUGACUGAACAGAUGACCCUUCGUGGCACCCUCAAGGGCCACAACGGCUGGGUGACCCAGAUCGCUACCACUCCCCAGUUCCCGGACAUGAUACUGUCCGCCUCUCGAGACAAGACCAUCAUCAUGUGGAAGCUGACCAGAGAUGAGACCAACUACGGUAUCCCACAGCGUGCUCUUCGGGGUCACUCCCACUUUGUUAGUGACGUGGUCAUCUCCUCAGAUGGCCAGUUUGCCCUCUCAGGCUCCUGGGAUGGAACCCUUCGCCUCUGGGAUCUCACAACGCAAGUAGCUGCUCUGGGGCACUGGGGGAAAGCUGGGUAGAAAUGAGGUAGAUAAUAUCUGGAAGUGGUUUCCCAGGGGUGAUUGGGUUCAUUGUGGGAACUAUAAGGCAGAGAAUACCUGGAGAAGAUGGUUGUGGUUGCUUGGCCACCCUCCUUGUUUUUAAUGUUAUACAGAAUUGCUGAGGAGUGGUCUGGUUGAGCAGUUUUAUCAGAUAUUGCACUUGGGAGUAGGCAAAGUUUGACCGUGUUGUGUGCUGGUAGCUCAGUCUUUGGAUGGUCAGGCAUAACGGAGGAUCCUGGUGAUGAGAGGUGACAUUGUCAGCCAAUCCCCACAUGGGAGUGAGGACAUGUCCUGCAAUUCUGAAGGGAUUCUCUGGCAUAUUCUCGGCCAAGGGCCUGCUGUUAUCAAAGCCAUGUCCAGGGUUGUGUGAGUGAUGCCACUCCACUGGGAGAGGAACCAGGCCAGGGAAACAGUCUAACUGUGUAAGAAUGUUUGCAAAGUCGGUCUAGAGGGUAACCACGUCCUUCCUCUCAGGGGCACUACCACGCGCCGAUUUGUAGGCCAUACCAAGGAUGUGCUGAGUGUGGCCUUCUCUUCUGACAACCGACAGAUUGUCUCUGGCUCCCGAGAUAAAACCAUCAAGCUAUGGAAUACUCUGGGUGUAUGCAAAUAUACUGUCCAGGAUGAGAGCCACUCAGAGUGGGUGUCUUGCGUCCGCUUCUCGCCCAACAGCAGCAAUCCCAUUAUUGUCUCCUGUGGCUGGGACAAGCUGGUCAAGGUAUGGAACUUGGCAAACUGUAAGCUGAAGACCAAUCACAUUGGCCACACAGGCUACCUGAACACUGUGACCGUCUCUCCAGAUGGAUCCCUCUGUGCUUCUGGAGGCAAGGAUGGCCAGGCCAUGUUGUGGGACCUCAAUGAAGGCAAGCACCUUUACACGCUAGAUGGUGGGGACAUCAUCAAUGCCCUGUGCUUCAGUCCCAACCGCUACUGGCUCUGUGCUGCUACGGGCCCUAGCAUCAAGAUCUGGGACUUGGAGGGCAAAAUCAUUGUAGAUGAAUUGAAGCAAGAAGUUAUCAGUACCAGCAGCAAGGCAGAGCCGCCUCAGUGUACCUCUCUGGCCUGGUCUGCUGAUGGCCAGACUCUGUUUGCUGGCUACACAGACAACCUGGUGCGAGUGUGGCAGGUGACCAUUGGCACCCGCUAAAAACAUGGGAGAGCUUUAAAAAUUAAAAAAACUGGUUUUCU